UCCUAAUUGUGCAUCAGGGGGGAAUUUUUAGCAAUUGACCCAAGCCUGACGGAGCAAUACCGCGUGCGGGAAGGCGGUCUAUGGGUUGUUAACCUCUUUUUUCCUGGAGGAAUCAAAUGACGUGUUCCCGAAGAAUAAACAUCGGCUAACUUUGUUCCAGCACCCCCGGUAAGAUGGAGGAGGCAAGUGUUAUCUUGAAUCAUUUGGGGUAAAAAGUCGGUAGGUGGUCCAAUAAAUCAACUGUUAAAUCUCGAGGCUCAACCUCAAAAUAGCAGUCGAAACUAUUAGACUAGAGUAUAGUAGGGGGAAAGGGAAUUUCCAGUGGAGCGGUGAAAUUCGUAGAGAUUGGAAAGAACACCGAUGGCGAAGGCACUCUCCUGGGCUAUUACUAACACUCAGAGACGAAAGCUAGGGUAGGCAAACGCGAUUAGAUACCCCCGUAGUCCUAGCCCUCAACAAUGGAUACUAGAUGUGAACAGAUCGACCUGUUCAGUUCAAAGCUAACGCGUAAGUUACCCUGUACUCGACGUUUU
rnacentral:rRNA from 1 species